CCUACGGUCGGCAGCAGUGGGGAAUAUUGGACAAUGGGCGAAAGCCUGAUCCAGCCAUGCCGCGUGUGUGAAGAAGGCCUUCGGGUUGUAAAGCACUUUCAGUGGGGAAGAAAGCCUUGGGGCUAAUACCCUCGAGGAAGGACAUCACCCACAGAAGAAGCACCGGCUAACUCCGUGCCAGCAGCCGCGGUAAUACGGAGGGUGCGAGCGUUAAUCGGAAUUACUGGGCGUAAAGCGCGCGUAGGCGGUCUGAUAAGCCGGUUGUGAAAGCCCCGGGCUCAACCUGGGAACGGCAUCCGGAACUGUCAGGCUAGAGUGCAGGAGAGGAAGGUAGAAUUCCCGGUGUAGCGGUGAAAUGCGUAGAGAUCGGGAGGAAUACCAGUGGCGAAGGCGGCCUUCUGGACUGACACUGACGCUGAGGUGCGAAAGCGUGGGUAGCAAACAGGAUUAGAUACCCCUGUAGUC
rnacentral:rRNA from 1 species